UAAAGCAAGAAAGGGCGUAUGGGGAAUGCCUAGGCACACUCCGGCGAAGAAGGACGCAGCAAACAGCGAAAUGCGACGGUGAGCGGUAAGCACGUGAAGAGCCGUCGAUAUCCGAAUGGGGGAACCCACACGGAGUCAUAUCCGUGUAUCACAUGUCGAAUACAUAGACAUGAUGAGGCGAGACGCAGGGAACUGAAACAUCUAAGUACCUGCAGGAAGAGAAAAUAAGAAUGAUUUUCUGAGUAGCGGCGAGCGAAAGGGAAAGAGCCCAAACCGAUUUUAGGAUCGGGGUAGUAGGAUCAUCGAGGAAUCUGACAGAGGAUCAUAGAGGAAUCACAUGGGAAGGUGAGCGAGAGAGGGUGAGAGCCCCGUACUCGAAAUGAGAGACUGGAGAGAUGACACCUGAGUAGGGCGGGACACGAGAAAUCCUGUCUGAAUCAGCCGGGACCAUCCGGCAAGGCUAAAUACGAGAGAGUGACCGAUAGUGAACCAGUACCGUGAGGGAAAGGUGAAAAGAACCCCGGGAGGGGAGUGAAAGAGAACCUGAAACCAUAUGCCUACAAGAAGUCAGAGCCCGUUAAAGGGUGAUGGCGUGCCUUUUGUAGAAUGAACCGGCGAGUUACUGUAUGGAGCGAGGUUAAGCAGGAUAUGCGGAGCCGAAGCGAAAGCGAGUCUUAAGAGGGCGCGAGUUGCAUGCAGUAGACCCGAAACCGGGUGAUCUAGCCAUGACCAGGUUGAAGUUGGGGUAAAACCCGAUGGAGGACCGAACCGACCCCCGUUGAAACGUUGGCGGAUGAGUUGUGGCUAGGGGUGAAAUUCCAAUCGAACCCGGAGAUAGCUGGUUCUCCCCGAAAUAGCUUUAGGGCUAGCGUCGAGAGAAGAGUUGCGUGAAGGUAGAGCACUGAAUAUGUGAUGGCCCCAUCUCGGGGUACUGAGCAUAAUCAAACUGCGAAUGUCACGCCAACAUGCUCGGCAGUCAGACAGCGGGUGAUAAGGUCCGUUGUCAAGAGGGAAACAGCCCAGACCAUCAGCUAAGGUCCCAAAAUGUAUGCUAAGUGGAAAAGGAUGUGGAGAUGUACAGACAACUAGGAGGUUGGCUCAGAAGCAGCCAUCCUUUAAAGAGUGCGUAACAGCUCACUAGUCGAAUGACUCUGCGCCGAUAAUUUACCGGGGCUAAGCAUACUACCGAAGCUAUGGAUCCCAAGGGAUGGUAGGGGAGCGUUCCAUGAACGGAGAAGUACGACCGAAAGGACGUGUGGAGAUCAUGGAAGAGAGAAUGCCGGUGUGAGUAGCGGAACGUGGGUGAGAAUCCCACGCACCGAAAACCCAAGGUUUCCAGAGGAAGGUUCGUCCGCUCUGGGUAAGUCGGGACCUAAGGCGAGGCCGAAAGGCGUAGUCGAUGGACAACAGGUAGAGAUUCCUGUACCCGUAUAUAUGUGAAGGAAUGACGGAGAGAGGAAGCUGCAGCCAGCGGCUGGAAGAGCUGGUGCAAGCGAGAUAUCGGGAUGGCAGGCAAAUCCACCAUCCGAAACGAGAAGGCGUGAAGCGUACGGAAAGCUACGGCGAGUACGGAAGGCAGUGGAGGAACUUCCAAGAAAAGUUUCUAACGUUAAGUAUAUAUGGCCCGUACCGAAAAUGGACACACAUGGGUGAGGAGAGAAUCCUAAGGUGAGCGAGAGAACUAUAGCUAAGGAACUCUGCAAAAUGACUCCGUAACUUAGGGAGAAGGAGUGCUCAUAGAGAUAUGAGCCGCAGUGAAACGGCCCAAGCGACUGUUUACCAAAAACACAGCUCUCUGCUAAGCCGCAAGGCGAAGUAUAGGGGGUGACGCCUGCCCGGUGCUGGAAGGUUAAGGGGAGGGGUUAACGCAAGUGAAGCCCUGAACUGAAGCCCCAGUAAACGGCGGCCGUAACUAUAACGGUCCUAAGGUAGCGAAAUUCCUUGUCAGGUAAGUUCUGACCCGC
rnacentral:rRNA from 1 species